GCCAAAUUGUGCUUAAGCUUCAAAAUGCUGCUGAAGUCCUAUAUCCCUGUAAGGCUAUUUUGACUUUAAGGAAAGGCUUGUGGAGGACCGGGCAGCCUUUUCUGGAGAGCAACCUCAGCCAAGGAGCGGAUGCCAUAAUUGCUUUCCCUUUUACCUCACCACUGGGACAGCUCUGAACACUUUAUAGAGUUUGCUCCCUCAAGCUUGCAUUCCUUACUUCUCAUAGAAGCAAAAUACUGCAUUUCUUUUGAUCUCAUAGAAAUGAAAAGGACUCUCUACGCCAUGGCUUUUGGUCUUGGUUUCUGUUUCUUUGAAUUUGGCUCCUUGGUGGGGUCCUGGGGAUACUUGCACUUCACUAUUGUUCAAGCUUUCAACUGAACUUAGAGGUGAAUUUAAAUCAAUCCCCUAACAACAAAGAGAUGUGUGUCAGGAGGGGUAGUGGUGACUCAGGGACAGAUAAAUGUAACUUCUCUAAGGUGUAAAGCCAUAUACCCUCAUUCCCUAGAGGGGAACAUAUAAAAAGCCACUAGUAGAAUGUCUUCUUCUAUCAAUUUCACCUGUUGAUCUAAUUGUAGGUAGAGAUCCAUAAGGAACUCAUUGAGGGUUAGGGAGAGAUUCGCUACUCAGAUACUGAUUAGGCAAGAAAUGUAACACCAAGUGAAGAAAUGGAGUCCAAGAAUUUUCCUAAUCCUGAAAAAAGUAGGGAGUGUGGAGAGAGGAGUUGAUUAUAUAAAACAGAAGGGCAGAUACAUUGCAAAAAAUGUUAAAUUUUACUGCCAUAUAUGUGACAUUCAAAUUAUUUAUAGCAGGGAGACCUUUAUUUCAAAACUAGCUGUCUGAUCUUGAGCAAAUUACUUAACCUGGCCAACAUAUGCUUCUCUAAUAUGAUCAAUUAGGAAUUAUCUGUACUGAACAGUGUUAUUUUGUGGAUUAAAUGGAAAUGUAAAAACUGGUUGACAUAGUAUCUGAAGCAUAAUGGACUCAGAGAAUAUUAGUUCUCUUCCUUUCCAUGAACUCAACUGUUAAAACACACAAGUGUAUAUAACAGUUCUAUCACUUUAUUUAUUUAUUUAUUUUUCAGAUGGAGUCUCACUCUGUUGCCUAGGUUGGAGUGCAGUGGCUCAAUCUUGGCUCACUGUAACAUCCACCUCCCGGGUUCAAGCAAUUCUCCUGCUUCAGCUCCCCCAAGUAGCUGGGACUACAGGCGCCUGCCACCACACCUGGCUAAUUUUUUUUUUUGUAUUUUUAGUAGAGAUGGGGUUUCACUGUGUUGGCCAGGCUGAGUCUCAAGCACCUGACCUCGUGAUCCGUCUGCCUUGGCUUCCCAAAGUGCUGGGAUUACAGGCAUGAGCCACCACACCUGGCCCUAUCACUUACUUUUGAAGUACCUAUUAAAUCCUAGGUGCUUCACAGAUUUUGCCUACAUUUCAUCAUUUAAUUUACUGUAUAAAUUAAUUCAUCUUUGUCUUAUUCUGUCAGGUUAAUGUUAUCAUUCUCUUUUUACAGAUUUAUUGAGACACAGAGAAAGCCAAGUAACUUGCUCAUAAUUUCACAGCUAGUAAAAGGUAGAAUCAAGAAUUGGAGCCAUAUACUUUGAUACAAAAGUAUUAUCACACUCUUUUCUUUUCCUAAGCCUGCUGACCAAGCUUGCACAGUUCCCUCUGGGGAAAAGAUCUAUCGACCUACUUUAGAUUUUAUCAAAGUGAAAGAGUAUUUUUUAUUCAUUCAAUGAUCAAGAUUGAUUUAUUUUUCUGAAUUACUUCAAGAAACCUUGAGAUAUCUGAUAAUCUAGAAAACAUCUGGUCAUUUCUUCUUUCAUAAGUCCUUGCAUUUCUGUUGGAGUGGAAUUACUGGAUUAUGAGGUAUGAACAUGCUCAGUUUUAGCAGAUACUGCCAGUUUUCCAAAGUGGUUAUAUGCUUCACACUUCCACCAGCAAUGAGUUCCAGUUGUUCCACAUCCUCAUCAGCAAUGUUAUUGUAAUGAAUAUACUCUCCAGUAGAAACGUUAUUGUUUUGCCUUUCACAAAGAUCUACAAUCCACCUGAAAUACAUAUUUGCAUGUACUCUGACGUAGAGAAUGUUUCAUUUUGUCCACGUGUAUCCAAUUGUCCCAGCAGUACUUAUUAAAAAGAUUAUCGUUUUUCCAUGGUUGUAUAGUGCCACCUUUGUCUUAACUCUAUAGUCCACAUAUGUAGACUCUACUUUUUUUCCCUUGGUUAUCUUUGAUUCCUUGAGAAAAUAUCAU
rnacentral:lncRNA from 1 species